rnacentral:rRNA from 1 species
CAGUAGCCGCGGGAAUACGAAGGGGGCUAGCGUUGCUCGGAAUGACUGGGCGUAAAGGGCGCGUAGGCGGAUUGUUUAGUUAGGCGUGAAAUUCCUGGGCUUAACCUGGGGACUGCGCUUAAUACAGGCAGUCUAGAGUGAGGAAGAGGGUUGUGGAAUUCACAGUGUAGAGGUGAAAUUCGUAGAUAUUGGGAAGAACACCGGUGGCGAAGGCGGCGACCUGGUCUUUAACUGACGCUGAGGCGCGAAAGCGUGGGGAGCAAACAGGAUUAGAUACCCCAGUAGUCCCUGUCUCUUAUAC